CGCUACCUUUCUUCCAGAUGGUGAAACAGAGGGACUUAAAUCUGUGAAGGCUGAUCGGGUGAGGGGUUGAGUUUUUCCGGUCCUAAGAUUGGUUUUGUAAACGACAGUCCAGGGCUCACGACGAUAUCUUGCCGGGUUCUUGGUGGUGACAUAAACGAGAUAAUGAUCGAUAGUACGAUUACCGUCCUUAUAACCACCGGCAAUGCCACCACUGUCUUCCAUGCGAACACCGCUGAAUGUGCCGUAGAUAUCAGCGAAACUAAGGACUUUGACUUUGUCAGUAAAGCGAAGAGCAAUGUGAAGCGUCUCAAGGUUCAUAUCUCGUUCGGAGACGAAAACCAAGCCUGAAAGGCGACCUGAAUCAACAUCGGCUUCUUUGGCUUCAGAAGCCAAUUUUGGGCACUUGAUAAUUGUCUUGAGAGCUUCUGGUCGAAUGACUUGGCAGUUGUAAUUGUCGGACAAUCCAUCAGUCAUGGGUAGCUCAUCAUGCCUGGACGUCGGUGAAACAGGACACGAAAAUAUGUCCAGCGGCACCGGUGGCUUAUAGGUUGCGAAGAAGGCAAUG
rnacentral:misc_RNA from 1 species